UACGUAGGAUGCAAGCGUUGUCCGGAUUUACUGGGCGUAAAGCGCGCGCAGGCGGCACUCUAAGUACGUCGUGAAAUAUCCCGGCUCAACCGGGAGGGUGCGAUGUAGACUAGGGAGCUAGAGGUCGGUAGAGGGGGGUGGAAUUGCUGGUGUAGCGGUGAAAUGCGUAGAGAUCGGAAAGAACACCAACGGCGAAAGCACUCUGCUGGGCCGACACUGACACUGAGAGACGAAAGCUAGGGGAGCGAAUGGG
rnacentral:rRNA from 1 species